CCUACGGGAGGCAGCAGUAGGGAAUCUUCCGCAAUGGACGAAAGUCUGACGGAGCAACGCCGCGUGAGUGAUGAAGGCCUUCGGGUCGUAAAACUCUGUUGUUAGGGAAGAACAAGUACGAGAGUAACUGCUUGUACCUUGACGGUACCUAACCAGAAAGCCACGGCUAACUACGUGCCAGCAGCCGCGGUAAU
rnacentral:rRNA from 1 species